rnacentral:rRNA from 1 species
AUACGUAGGGGACGAGCGUUGUCCGGAAUUACUGGGCGUAAAGGGCGCGCAGGCGGAUAUUUAAGUCAGCUGUAAAAGGCAUGAGCUCAACUCAUGUAUGCGGUUGAAACUGGGUAUCUAGAGUGCUGGAGAGGUAGGCGGAAUUCACGGUGGAGCGGUGAAAUGCGUAGAUAUCGGGAAGAACACCAGUGGCGAAGGCGGCUUACUGGCCAGCAACUGACGCUGAGGCGCGAAAGCCAGGGGAGCGAACGGGAUUAGAUACCCCGGUAGUCCUGGCCGUAAACGAUGAAUGCUAGGUGUGGGUGUCGAGAGGCAUCCGUGCCGGAGUUAACGCGAUAAGCAUUCCGCCUGGGGAGUACGAUCGCAAGAUUGAAACUCAAAUGAAUUGGCGGGG